rnacentral:misc_RNA from 1 species
CGCCGCUGCCACGCCGGUGGUGGUUUCGGGGGAGGCACCUCCACCACCGCCGUUACUGCCCCCUUGUGAAGAAGACAGUGUUGAAGAAGAUGUUGGUGGGCUCGGGCUUCUUCUAGCGUCAAGCACAGAUGUGGGCUCACUGCCCACAUAGCAGCAAUUUUCUUGGGUGUUGCUGUUUUGCCACUUUUGUGGCUGUUGAAGCUGAUUUUGUGGUGGUAGAUGAGAGAAAGAAUCUGGGUAAGAGGAAGAAGGAAGAAGAAGAAGAAGAACAAGAAGAG